UACGGAGGGGGCUAGCGUUGUUCGGAAUUACUGGGCGCAAAGCGCACGUAGGCGGUUACUCAAGUCAGAGGUGAAAGCCCGGAGCUUAACUCCGGAAUUGCCUUUGAAACUAGGUGACUUGAAUCCAGGAGAGGUGAGUGGAAUUCCGAGUGUAGAGGUGAAAUUCGUAGAUAUUCGGAAGAACACCAGUGGCGAAGGCGGCUCACUGGACUGGUAUUGACGCUGAGGUGCGAAAGCGUGGGGAGCAAACAGG
rnacentral:rRNA from 1 species